UACGUAGGGGGCAAGCGUUGUCCGGAAUUAUUGGGCGUAAAGAGCGUGUAGGCGGUCCGGUAAGUCAGCUGUGAAAGUCAAGGGCUCAACCCUUGAAAGCCGGUUGAUACUGUCGGGCUAGAGUCCGGAAGAGGCGAGUGGAAUUCCCGGUGUAGCGGUGAAAUGCGCAGAUAUCGGGAGGAACACCAAUGGCGAAGGCAGCUCGCUGGGAGGGUACUGACGCUGAGACGCGAAAGCGUGGGGAGCAAACAGG
rnacentral:rRNA from 1 species